rnacentral:tRNA from 1 species
ACCUGGGUGGCUCAGUCGGUUAAGCAUCUGACUUCAGCUCAGGUCAUGAUCUCACGGUUUGUGAGUUCGAGUCCCGCUUUGGGUG